GAUGAAGAACGUAGCGAAAUGCGAUAAGUAGUGUGAAUUGCAGAAUUCAGUGAAUCAUCGAAUCUUUGAACGCACAUUGUGCCUCCUGGUAUUCCGGGAGGCAUGCCUGUUCGAGCGUCAUUAAAAUCACUCAAGCUUAGGUUUGCCUAUUGCUUGGUCUUGAAGAUGGAAGCUAAGUAAUUAGAAUCCUCUUCGAAAUCCAAUGGCGAAGACCCUUGCUCUCCCAAGUGUAGUAAUAACUUAUUCACUGAAGGAAGCGAGUAAUCUUCCGCCGUAACCCCCAUAUUUUCUAUGAUUGACCUCGGAUCAGGUAGGGAUACCCGCUGAACUUAAGCAUAUCAAUAAGCGGAGGA
rnacentral:misc_RNA from 1 species